AUGCAGCUUGUCUCCUGCGGUCGGACCGCCAUUAACAUUAACGGUGAGAUUGGCCCCUUCUUGCCCACGCUUUGUGGGGUUUGCCAAGGCGACCCAUUCUCUCCGCUCCUGUUUAACAUGGUGGUAGACGCCCUUCUUGACAAGGCCAAAUCGGCCGGCCAUAUUCAUGGUGUGGUCCCACACCUAGUAGGAGGGGGAUGGGUCUCCCUCCUCCAAUUUGCCGACAACACCAUAAUAAUGGUC
rnacentral:rRNA from 1 species